rnacentral:lncRNA from 1 species
CUUUAGAUGGACAUUAGAGUCACUAAUGAACUUGGAAAAGGCACAGAGGAAGGGCAAACCACCGCCCCUUUAUCUCAGGGGUUUCUGUCCUUGCUGGUUUGAUUUCUCAGAACAACCAGAUUGUGUCUUCUCCCUGUUAUGGCAACCAAACCUGGAUGCUCCUGUCUGUGAUCAGCUGUUCAGUUCUGAAUACAGUAGCACUUAA